UCCCGAGUAGCUCAGCCGGCAGAGCAGGUGACUGUUAAUCACCGGGCCGUAGGUUCAAGUCCUACCUCGGGAG
rnacentral:tRNA from 1 species